rnacentral:misc_RNA from 1 species
AUUAAUAUUAAUUAAAUAUUGCAAAAUACAAAUAUAGGAUUACAGAACCAGCAAAUACUCUAGUGAGAGAGAGAGGGACAUAUUGUCAAGCCUAGUACCAGACAUGAACAUUAAUAAACUUUCCUGGCACGUGGAAUUGCCAAUUGAACCUACUACUCAUUAAUUCUAGUAAUUCAAUUUCAACCCAAAAACAUCACUUUCUCAGUCGUUGUCGCUGUCCCUAUUUGUUAUGCUGCAGCUACUAUUUUCCUUUGAAUUAAUCAUCGAAUAUCUUGAGAUCUUGAUAAUUACAUGUUAA